GAUGAACGCUAGCUACAGGCUUAACACAUGCAAGUCGAGGGGUCUACUUCGGUAGACGACCGGCGCACGGGUGAGUAACGCGUAUCCAACCUGCCCUUCUCAUUGGGAUAGCCUUUCGAAAGAGAGAUUAAUACCGAAUAACAUAGUCAAGUUGCCUGAUUCGACUAUGAAAGCUGCGGCGGAGAAGGAUGGGGAUGCGUUCCAUUAGGUAGUAGGCGGGGUAAUAGCCCACCUAGCCGACGAUGGAUAGGGGUUCUGAGAGGAAGGUCCCCCACAUUGGAACUGAGACACGGUCCAA
rnacentral:rRNA from 1 species